UACGUAGGGUGCGAGCGUUAAUCGGAAUUACUGGGCCUAAAGCAUCCGUAGCCGGUUCUACAAGUCUUCCGUUAAAUCCACCUGCUUAACAGAUGGGCUGCGGAAGAUACUAUGGAGCUAGGAGGCGGGAGAGGCAAGCGGUACUCGAUGGGUAGGGGUAAAAUCCGUUGAUCCAUUGAAGACCACCAGUGGCGAAGGCGGCUUGCCAGAACGCGCUCGACGGUGAGGGAUGAAAGCUGGGGGAGCAAACCGG
rnacentral:rRNA from 1 species